ANUUAACGCUGGCGGCAUGCCUUACACAUGCAAGUCGAACGGCAGCACGGAGCUUGCUCUGGUGGCGAGUGGCGAACGGGUGAGUAAUAUAUCGGAACGUACCCUGGAGUGGGGGAUAACGUAGCGAAAGUUACGCUAAUACCGCAUACGAUCUACGGAUGAAAGUGGGGGAUCGCAAGACCUCAUGCUCGUGGAGCGGCCGAUAUCUGAUUAGCUAGUUGGUAGGGUAAAAGCCUACCAAGGCAUCGAUCAGUAGCUGGUCUGAGAGGACGACCAGCCACACUGGAACUGAGACACGGUCCAGACUCCUACGGGAGGCAGCAGUGGGGAAUUUUGGACAAUGGGCGAAAGCCUGAUCCAGCAAUGCCGCGUGAGUGAAGAAGGCCUUCGGGUUGUAAAGCUCUUUUGUCAGGGAAGAAACGGUGAGAGCUAAUAUCUCUUGCUAAUGACGGUACCUGAAGAAUAAGCACCGGCUAACUACGUGCCAGCAGCCGCGGUAAUACGUAGGGUGCAAGCGUUAAUCGGAAUUACUGGGCGUAAAGCGUGCGCAGGCGGUUUUGUAAGUCUGAUGUGAAAUCCCCGGGCUCAACCUGGGAAUUGCAUUGGAGACUGCAAGGCU
rnacentral:rRNA from 1 species